rnacentral:rRNA from 1 species
ACGUAGGAGGCGAGCGUUAUCCGGAUUCACUGGGCGUAAAGCGCACGUAGGCGGUUGGUUAAGUCGGGCGUGAAAGCCCCUGGCUCAACUGGGGGAGGUCGUCCGAUACUGGCCGGCUUGAGGGUGAGAGAGGGGAGUGGAAUUCCCGGUGUAGCGGUGGAAUGCGUAGAGAUCGGGAGGAACACCAGUGGCGAAAGCGGCUCCCUGGCUCACCCCUGACGCUGAUUGUGCGAAAGCGUGGGGAGCAAAC